AAUCGGCGUACAGCACCGGGGACGUGUCCCCGAAGCGGUGCCGAGGGAAGCAAGCCACAGCAACAGCACCCAUUAGGGUGGAAAGCUGAAAAAUCACGCGUCGGGUGGAGUUUGGUAGGCUGUUAUCAGUUCGAAGAAGUCAGAUCCG
rfam:Bacteroides stercoris CC31F genomic scaffold acTTc-supercont1.2, whole genome shotgun sequence.